UAUGAACAACAGGCUCACAUUCCCCUUUGUAAAUCAUGCGGAUAUGAUAAUAUAUUGCACAGUGUCGUCGGUGCUUGUAACAAAAGGCAAUGUCAAUGUCCAGGAUACCGAAAAAUUAGAACCAUCAGACAUUGUGUCAACUGUGGGCACUUGCCCAUGGAUCACGACUUCAAAUUUGUCUGCCCUAAUAGAACUAGAAGUGACCCAGGGACAGAGAAUGUAGACUUAAUUGAAUGCCAAAUG